AACUGCGUCCUGAGCCCUACCCCUUGACCAGCCACUUAGUUUGCUCUGGAAUUCCCGUUCUCCUGAAGGGGAGAGGAGAGCCUCGCGGAAGGUCCCACGCACCCUCAACCUGGGGUCUAGACCAGGCGGUCCCAAAGCUUCUGCGAACAGCUGUGCCCAGCAUGAGGAGGAGUGCAGGUCACCGACGGGCUAGAAUGACGUGCAGUACUAGGAAAAAGAACUGGAACAAAUAAUCCUAAAAUUUGUGUGGAACUUCAAAAGACUGAGUUGCCCAAGCAAUCUUGAGAAAAAAGAACAAAGCUGGAGAUAUGCUCCCCGAUUUCUCAAUAUGCAAUGCUACAGUCAUCAAAACGGCACUGUGUAGCUGUACAUGAACAUCUCUGCAAUUGAUCGACUGAUGAUACUUCUGUCUUACAUGAGAUCACUAAGUUACCAUGGAGUCACUCUGUGAAGAAGCCCUCUCCUUUGGGAAGAUGCCCACCCAGCAGGGAGACCUCAUGGACCAGUUCACAAUUUGUUUUCAGACAUAUUAACCCCACAAAUACAACAUAUCAUAUUAUGCCUUGUACUACCAGAGCAGUAGCCCCACCGGGGAUCACCAGAGCAGUUACCCUAGCCCCAGGUGUAUACUCCCAGCUCUGUGUUCACUGGAUACUUGUUCCCUAGAAUUUCUAAAGUACAUACAAUAAACUGUUUUCAGGAAAAAUAUUCCUGUGCCUGAGCCCAUUAGAGAUGUUGCUAUGGUUGGGUGGCUGAGCUUGCCAGGCUAGGAUGCAAUUUUCAUGUCCACGGCUUUGAGUCCAGCUUUCAGCUCACAACUGGAGGGUGACUUGAAUGCCGCUUGGAGAUACACAAAGAUUUCUUGCUCAAGCCUGAAAUUGGAGUGUCCUUCCUCUCCUGGCUCUGCCCCCUCUUACCCUCCAGCAUCCUCCUACUUCUCCUCUAUCUUAAUCCCAGGGAUCCUCCAGCAUCUGAGCAAUACAGUGGGUGAAUGUGUGUGUAGUAACUUUGGCCAUCUCCUCCUGUGGGGCACGGUAGGACCAGGUGAGGUCAGGAGGUAAACAUUGAUAAACUCAUUAAGUCCUAAAUUUUUAAAAAGACAAAAACAAAUAAAAUAGAGCUGAAACUAGAGCAGUAAGCCAACAGAGUUACCUACUCUAGAGUUGACCUGGGGUAGGGGUAUGACUAUUCCACCAUCCUGUCAGAAACAGAAGCUUCUUUUAGUUCCUUUGUGUCUCAUCUCAUUCAACCUGCUGCAUGAAUAUGAAAGUGCAAUCAAUGCAUUCAUAAGAUUUUAUCAUUAUUAUUAUCAACAAAGCGCUUUAUAAAUAUAUUUCUCUUCAAGGACAUCAUUCUAUUGUAUUAGGACUUCAUGUUUCUUGCAUGCCUAGUAUAGAAGUUCUAGCAGCUGCCUGGAAUUAUUUUUUUUCUUGUGGAUAAAUAAGGCCAUCUGAGUAAAUAUGUAAUUAGGACCAUAAUGGCACAUUUUGACUGCUUUUAAUAAAUAACACCAAC
rnacentral:lncRNA from 1 species